rnacentral:lncRNA from 1 species
AAAAGAUUUAAAACAAAAGGUGGCGAUUAUUUCCUUUUGAAGAAUUAAUAAAAAGCUUAUGGGAAAUUUGCAAAUUUGCAAAAGAAAGAAUAUUCCCUCAACCAAUUCAUUUUGAGAAAGGGCCAAAAGAAUAUUCCUAAACUUGCUUGGUGGAAAAAAAGAAACUCGAGAAGGUUUUUCUCAUGAAGAUUAGCAAGAGAGCUUCAGAUUUUUUGUCAAGCCAAAAAUUGAAAAUCCAAGGAAAUCAAGGAAAUAAAAAUAAAAUAAAAUCUUGGGUGUUACAUAAACACUCACGCCGAGGCGACUGGCACAAUGAGCCUCAUUCACGGUAAAGCUUUCCGAGGUUUGGGAGCGUCGGGUUUGGGCUGUUUCACAUCCUUCUCUGCCGACUCAGUUGUUGUGGCUCAGUCAUGCUUGAUAUUCCUGGUGCUCGAUGUCAGGGUCUUCCUUGGGGCAGCCGCCGAGUCUUGAGGCUUCUUCGAUCGAGACUCGUUACGCAGGGGAGACUGAAUCUCUUCUUCGCUCUCCUUCGAGACGUCUUCGUUGUCCUCGAUGUCCUCAUCAUAAUCACUAUCCACGCUGCCGCCUACACUCUCUUCAUCGACAUCAAGUUGCCCUCCGUUCGGCAUGAGCGAAUACAUAUUUGUCAACUCCUACAACAUUCAAACAAUAAAGGGAGUCGACCAGAGAUAUCAAAGCACUCGAUGAAAUAUCAAAGUAUUCGAAAAUGAUAUAUCUUAUCAGGUUUGGUGGCGGGUUCUCAGCAGAGUAAGGCAAGAUUCGCUUGGCUCACAAGGGGUUGUCACUGGCUCCGGUGAUGCUUCUGAGCCACGGUCUCCUCCGAGACUUCCUCUCGGUGUGACCGAGUGGUGUCCUUGGGGCCAGAGUAGUGCCACAUGGUGUGGUCUCUCGCUUGAAGGGGAUGGAUUCGCCGACUAAGAAACGCCUCUAAUAGGUCCAUUCUAGUCACUCCACCACGGAUCAGAUCCACUACCGCAUUCACCAAAAUUCCUACUUGUAUCUUAUCCUCACCGUCAACGUUCUGGGAGAAGUCGGUCGCUCCAAUGUGAAGGGGGGAAGGCCAGUUAACAUAUUGGGAGAUGCAACAUCUUUGCAAUAAAACAAUGUCGACUGCCAGCCCCGAACAGAUUCACGAAGGGUCAUCUGCGGAAACAUACUCUUACUCCUCUUUUGGAGUCUCAGACCACCACAUAGAUGGAUGAUGUGGGUCCUACUAUCACUAGGAUUGGCUUUCUUAACCGACACAGACCGAAUCAUGAAAAUGUGUUUGAACAAGCCCCAAUGAGGGGAACAACCCAGGAAGCAUUCAAAUAGCGUUACGAACGCGGCAAGGUACGCAAUGGUAUUCGGAGGAAAGUGGUGAAGUUGAGCACCGAAGAAAUUUAAGAACCCACGAAUUAAUGGAUGGGGAGGCAAAGAAAAACCUCGCUCGACGUGAGUGAGGAGGAGGACUCGCUCGCCUUCGCGCGGCUCCGGCUCGGUUUCCCCUUCCGGCAACCUCUAUGACCCGGCGGCUAUCAGCCCGUUGGUGACGAGGUUCUGGACGUCCGCCUCCCUAAAAGUUGAUCGGAGGAAAUCCCCAUGGAUCCACCCCGGCGGCGCCGUAGAUCGGGCGCCCAACGACUUCUUACCCUUGCCUCCCUUCUUGGCACGCUCAAGCUUCCCUGUCUUCCCCUUCAUCAUCGCAGUGGCAGUGGAGGCGGCAGAUCUGAGCGGCGCCCGUGAAGCAAAGGUGGUGGGAAAAGAGGAAAAGAUUAAGGAGGAAUACUGUGCCAGCCCUUGCAACGACCCAUCUUAUAGUCGCUCGAGUGAGUCGCUGACUUAUGGGCCCGCCAGAUCUCUAUAUAUCUUGAUAACAGAGGAAGCACGAUACAUGGCGAUAAGUACGGCGCAAUAAUCGAGGCAUCGUGCUCCCACUUGCCCAAGUCGUUGCAUCAUCAUCGCGCGGCGCGCGCUUACCGAGUUUUCGAAUCCCGUGAAAUACGGACCUCAUGAAGUGACCCGUCGCGUCAAGGGCCGGUACUCUGUUGAUCACUCGAAUGAGUUUCCAUGCUCAAGGUCACCCGUACACAUUUCAAGACAAAAUAAAUCAGGGUAAAUGACAAAGACUUCAUUCGAUGCACACUUCUGUUAAGCCUUAAAAAGCAUUCGGAGUUCGUGUGUCUUAUUAGAAUCUGCAUAGACCCCUUUCCUUAUUCAAACACCGAUCCAAUCGGGGGCUAAUGAUAGGGAUAUAUACCUAGGGUAGGGCCAUAGGCCUGAACUACACGUCCUAUCGAAGGACACUACAUUGAAGGACUUAAAGAUUACAAGGAAGGCUCCGACCGAAUCACCAUGUCGCAUGCAUCACUCAACGCUACAUCCACUCGGAAGCUUCCCCCUUCAUUCGACAGUCGCCUUUCACUCGGAAGAACAAGAAACCAGUCGGCCGCAGAAGAUCACAAGCCACUCCAGGGAGGCCAACGAGCAGACGUUCGACUGGUCGUCAUAACUAGCAUUUAUUGCAUACGUUAUCAGUAACGUUCGCCUUAAUUUCCACUAUCGAACCCUUGGUUGCCAGAUCUUUGAUGAGGGAUACCGCAUUCUAUAUAAGCCACCCCUCCCCUCUGGCACAAGGGUUCGCACCCCCUGUAACUCACACUUUCCACACGACACAAGCUCCUGAGCACUGAGAUGUAGGGUUGUUACCUCCAUGAGAGGGGCCUGAACUCAUACAUUCGUGUGUACAAACUCGCCGUAGCUAGGACUCCGCCCUCUUCCUACGUACCCCUAACCUCUACUGUCAGGCUCGUUCCCACGACAAUACCUCCACCGCUUGUGGUGUGAAAUUGAUCAUUGCCCAGGUACUUCUCAAGAAGAGCAAGUUGCUCAAGUUCGCAGGUGAUGUGGUCGGUGGCGCCGGAGUCAACAUACCGAACACCAUCACCUCUUUGUUCACGCAAAGCAGUAGCAACGUGUCGUGCAUAGGGGACAUAGUCCUCAUCAUAACAAUGCCAACAAUCCAUCACCUCAUGGCCACCUUUCUUGCAGAGUUGGUAGCUCGGGCGACCAUGGGAAGACGAAGAGCGAAGGUUGUUGUUGGUGUUGGGACCGCCGCCGCUGUUCUGGCCGUAGCCACCGUGGUAGCCGCCACCACAAGAGCGAGCACCAUCGCUCGAAGGAAAGCCACGAUAGUGACAGCCGCCGCGACCUUGCCCCAGGUGACCACGCCCACGACCUCGACCACGGGAGGCAGAGUUAGCAGACGACUGGCGAAGGUUUGUGACAUGGAGGAGGGUGAGGCGGGCGUCAAUGCUCAGGAGCUCACUUUAGAGAUCCUGAACAGUGACAGGUUCCACCCGAGCAGCGAGCACCGACACAACUGGAUUGUACUCCACAUCCAAACUGGCAGGGAUUUUGGAUGUGAUUUCCACAUCAAAUAGCACGGCGCCAGUACAUGCAACUUCAUCGCUAAGACUUUUAGUUUUUCCAAGAUACUCGGCCAUAGUCAUAGUACCUUUUUGCAGAUUGGUGAGCUCAAUGCGCGUGUUGAUGGCUUGAGCUUGGCGUUGGGUAGUAAACAUGGCGUGGAUGGCGUGACACACCUCGGCUGGCGUGGAGCAUGACGACCUGGGCAAGAAUAUCGCGGGAAAGGGAACCCAUCAAAUAUCCUUGGAGUUGUUGCUGCUAUGCAUACCAGAGGGAUCACGCAAAGUUGGCGACUUGCUCUUCUUUCCCGUACUUGACAAUGGUGAGAGUCGCCGACGGUGUCGGGCUCUUCACGUCGAGGUGGUGCUCCAUCUGUGAGCCCUUGAUCUAGGGCAGCACAAUGGCCUUCCAUAGGAGGAAGUUGCCCCUCGCGAGCUUCUCCUGUGGUGGUGGUCCAAGCGAGGUAGUGGUGGAGGUGGAGGAUGAGGCCAAGGUGGAGGAUGAGUUGGUGGUGAGCGCGUCGAUGGUGUUAAGGUUCAUGGCAGUGUCGGACAUGUUGCUCGGUCGCAGAAGGAAGCUAGAUGCAAUCUCUUUCGAUCUAAUGAGGAAGAGGCUCUGACACCAUGUGAAAUGACAUGGGAAACUUUGAAACCUUUGCUUGGGCCACAUUGCUAUAUAUAUAAGGGAUGCCUUGGCUUACAAGUUGAGACCGAUCACAAUGGAUCGGUUAUAGAAGAGAUCGAGAGAGAGGGAAUCGGUAGAGAAAACAGAAGAAGGGAUAGAGAAAGAUUACACAUUCAAACUACUCUUCUAUCCCUAUACAACUUAUUCUAACACAAUUGACCGAUAGAAAGUCGGACAAUAUACAGUCGACCCACUCGGCUUUGAUCUAAGAGAACUCACUUGCCAUAGAUGGAAGAACAAAUUAUCACAGCAGUAUGGCAAGGUCACGGCCAAAGACAUAACGCUCCGACUUGUGCUUAACCAUCCGGAGCCGACCCACCCCAGCCUUCAACACUUUGACGCCCUCAAGAACAGCAAAAUUCUCUCUUUCCAGAAGGGCAUGGCCAGACAUAUCCUCAAUGCUCUCCUCUGGUCUAGUAAGAAAGAACCUGGCAAUGCAGACUUUACCGGAUCCUAGCAGCACAAUGCUGGCAUCUCUCAGUCUCCAAUCUUCUGGCCUGUUCACAUCUGUCCACUCAUUCUGCAGCAUGGGCGGCCACAAUUCACAUGAGGUAGUGAGGUCUGCUGCGCAAAGCUGCAAAUCGUUGGGUGUGAAGCCAAGCCAGAGGUUGUGCUCAGGGAUGUACUCAGCACGACCUCUGAAGGGCAGUGCCCAGUUGCCUACUUUGCUCCAUGCGUCACUCGCGGUGUCAUACAAGUAUGUGCCAGCGGCAAAUGUAGAUAUCCAGAUCUGUGAAUCGCCAACCACAGUGUAGGCGCUGAUUUUAAAGGGCAUUAAGACGUCGCAGCCGCUGGAUUCCACUUCCACCCCAUCGGCAAAGAGAGGCGGUGGCUGGAGGGAAUACCAGCACCAGUCUUUGGUGUUGCUAGCACUAGCAGGCGGGCGGCUGCGGAUGAGAGCCUGGAAGCAGUGCUGAUCCGGCCGCCGGCCAGGGUUGCGGCUCAUGACGUAUAGGCUGUCGCCCACGGCAAUGGAGAUGGGGUCGAUAAUGGGCCUGCACAUCUUGGGCNNNNNNNNNNNNNNNNNNNNNNNNNCAUUCCUGUGCGGAGCAAACGAGAGUCAUGGUUGUACAAGAAGGUCCUACCGAUUUGGUCCACGGCGAGAAGAUUGUCCCGGUUGAGGCCGAAAGCCAUGAAAUUCAUCCACGCCAGUUCCCCAUUGUUGGAUGGCCAGUCGAAUGACAGAGAUGGGGGAGGCAGCGGAGCGUCCGCUAACGGUUGAACUGCUCGAACCGCUUACCGGGUUGGGCGAAAUAAGUUUUCCGGAUUCAUACAGUGAAGGCUGAAGUAUCUGGGGCCGCCGUAGCUCCUAGCCAACAGAUUCACAAACCGGCUACCCAUGGUGGGCGGGCUUCCUGAUAAUCAAAAGAAAGAACAAGGGACUUGUUGAAUGUUGGUAAUGAUUGUAGCUUCUUCUCUCGUAAUAUCUAAGAACCAUGUACAAACACAGAGAAAUAUCAUCAGAGAUUCACGGAGUACCUGAGGAGGGGGGAUGGGAAUCAACUGAACCCGGAAAUUUCUGGAAAGGAGAGUAUCGGCACUCAACCACGCAGCAAGAUCGAUAUGUUGUUUGGCAACAAAUUGGGGGUAUUUGGGGAGGAGGCGUUGUUGGCGGCACAAGGAAGACUUUAGAGGGAGAUCCGGUGCGAUUCCUACCCUAACGCCUUCCCC